UACGUAGGGUGCGAGCGUUAAUCGGAAUUACUGGGCGUAAAGCGUGCGCAGGCGGUUUUGUAAGUCAGAUGUGAAAUCCCCGGGCUCAACCUGGGAACUGCGUUUGAAACUGCAAGGCUAGAGUAUGGGAGAGGGAGGUAGAAUUCCACGUGUAGCAGUGAAAUGCGUAGAGAUGUGGAGGAAUACCAAUGGCGAAGGCAGCCUCCUGGCCUAAUACUGACGCUCAUGCACGAAAGCGUGGGGAGCAAACAGGAUUAGAAACCCCCGUAGUCC
rnacentral:rRNA from 1 species